rnacentral:rRNA from 1 species
GGCCAAGUUUUUAAGGGCGCACGGUGGAUGCCUUGGCACCAGGAACCGAUGAAGGACGUGGGAGGCCACGAUAGUCCCCGGGGAGUCGUCAACCAGGCUUUGAUCCGGGGGUUUCCGAAUGGGGAAACCCGGCAGUCGUCAUGGGCUGUCACCCUUGCCUGAACACAUAGGGCAAGUGGAGGGAACGCGGGGAAGUGAAACAUCUCAGUACCCGCAGGAAGAGAAAACAACCGUGAUUCCGGGAGUAGUGGCGAGCGAAACCGGAUGAGGCCAAACCGUAUGCGUGUGAGACCCGGCAGGGGUUGCGUAUACGGGGUUGUGGGAUCUCUCUUUCACAGUCUGCCGGCUGUGAGACGAGUCAGAAACCGUUGAUGUAGGCGAAGGACAUGCGAAAGGUCCGGCGUAGAGGGUAAGACCCCCGUAGUCGAAACGUCAACGGCUCGUUUGAGAGACACCCAAGUAGCACGGGGCCCGAGAAAUCCCGUGUGAAUCUGGCGGGACCACCCGCUAAGCCUAAAUAUUCCCUGGUGACCGAUAGCGGAUAGUACCGUGAGGGAAUGGUGAAAAGUACCGCGGGAGCGGAGUGAAAUAGUACCUGAAACCGUGUGCCUACAAGCCGUGGGAGCGUCGCGUUGCAUGCUUGCAUGCAACGUCGUGACUGCGUGCCUUUUGAAGAAUGAGCCUGCGAGUUUGCGGUGUGUUGCGAGGUUAACCCGUGUGGGGAAGCCGUAGCGAAAGCGAGUCCGAAUAGGGCGAUUCAGUAGCGCGCUCAAGACCCGAAGCGGAGUGAUCUAGCCAUGGGCAGGUUGAAGCGGAGGUAAGACUUCGUGGAGGACCGAACCCACCAGGGUUGAAAACCUGGGGGAUGACCUGUGGUUAGGGGUGAAAGGCCAAUCAAACUCCGUGAUAGCUGGUUCUCCCCGAAAUGCAUUUAGGUGCAGCGUCGUGUGUUUCUUGCCGGAGGUAGAGCACUGGAUAGGCGAUGGGCCCUACCGGGUUACUGACCUUAGCCAAACUCCGAAUGCCGGUAAGUGAGAGCACGGCAGUGAGACUGUGGGGGAUAAGCUCCAUGGUCGAGAGGGAAACAGCCCAGAGCAUCGACUAAGGCCCCUAAGCGUACGCUAAGUGGGAAAGGAUGUGGAGUCGCAGAGACAACCAGGAGGUUGGCUUAGAAGCAGCCACCCUUGAAAGAGUGCGUAAUAGCUCACUGGUCUAGUGAUUCCGCGCCGACAAUGUAGCGGGGCUCAAGCGUACCGCCGAAGUCGUGUCAUUCCAGCAAUAGCCCCAACGGGUGCUGGGAUGGGUAGGGGAGCGUCGUGUGCCGGGUGAAGCUGCAGCGGAAGCUAGUGGUGGACGGUUCACGAGUGAGAAUGCAGGCAUGAGUAGCGAUACACACGUGAGAAACGUGUGCGCCGAUUGACUAAGGGUUCCUGGGUCAAGCUGAUCUGCCCAGGGUAAGUCGGGACCUAAGGCGAGGCCGACAGGCGUAGUCGAUGGAUAACCGGUUGAUAUUCCGGUACCCGCUGUGAAGCGUCAAACAUCGAGCAUCGUGAUGCUAAGGCCGUGAAGCCGUUCCGGACCCUUCGGGGAAUGGAAAGUGGUGGAGCCGCCGGCCCAAGCGGUUAGUAGGUGAGUGAUGGGGUGACGCAGGAAGGUAGUCCAUCCCGGGCGGUGGUUGUCCCGGGGUAAGGGUGUAGGACGUGGUCUAGGCAAAUCCGGAUCACACAUAGUCUGAGACCUGAUGCCGAGCCGAUUGUGGUGAAGUGGAUGAUCCUAUGCUGUCGAGAAAAGCCUCUAGCGAGUUUCAUGGCGGCCCGUACCCUAAACCGACUCAGGUGGUCAGGUAGAGAAUACCGAGGCGUUCGGGUGAACUAUGGUUAAGGAACUCGGCAAAAUGCCCCCGUAACUUCGGGAGAAGGGGGGCCAUCACUGGUGAGGAGACUUGCUCUCCGAGCUGGGGGUGGCCGCAGAGACCAGCGAGAAGCGACUGUUUACUAAAAACACAGGUCCGUGCGAAGCCGUAAGGCGAUGUAUACGGACUGACGCCUGCCCGGUGCUGGAACGUUAAGGGGACCGGUUAGUCACUCUUCGGGGUGGCGAAGCUGAGAACUUAAGCGCCAGUAAACGGCGGUGGUAACUAUAACCAUCCUAAGGUAGCGAAAUUCCUUGUCGGGUAAGUUCCGACCUGCACGAAUGGCGUAACGACUUCUCGACUGUCUCAACCAUAGGCCCGGUGAAAUUGCACUACGAGUAAAGAUGCUCGUUUCGCGCAGCAGGACGGAAAGACCCCGGGACCUUUACUACAGUUUGAUAUUGGUGUUCGGUUCGGCUUGUGUAGGAUAGCUGGGAGACUGUGAACUCUGGACGCCAGUUCAGGGGGAGUCGUCGUUGAAAUACCAGUCUGGUCGUGCUGGAUGUCUAACCUGGGUCCGUGAUCCGGAUCAGGGACAGUGUCUGAUGGGUAGUUUAACUGGGGCGGUUGCCUCCUAAAGAGUAACGGAGGCGCCCAAAGGUUCCCUCAGCCUGGUUGGCAAUCAGGUGUUGAGUGUAAGUGCACAAGGGAGCUUGACUGUGAGACCGACGGGUCGAGCAGGGACGAAAGUCGGGACUAGUGAUCCGGCGGUGGCUUGUGGAAGCGCCGUCGCUCAACGGAUAAAAGGUACCCCGGGGAUAACAGGCUGAUCUUCCCCAAGAGUCCAUAUCGACGGGAUGGUUUGGCACCUCGAUGUCGGCUCGUCGCAUCCUGGGGCUGGAGUCGGUCCCAAGGGUUGGGCUGUUCGCCCAUUAAAGCGGUACGCGAGCUGGGUUUAGAACGUCGUGAGACAGUUCGGUCCCUAUCCGCUGCGCGCGCAGGAACAUUGAGAAGGGCUGUCCCUAGUACGAGAGGACCGGGACGGACGAACCUCUGGUGUGCCAGUUGUUCUGCCAAGGGCAUGGCUGGUUGGCUACGUUCGGGAGGGAUAACCGCUGAAAGCAUCUAAGCGGGAAGCCUGCUUCGAGAUGAGUGUUCCCACCCCCUUGAGGGGUUAAGGCUCCCAGUAGACGACUGGGUUGAUAGGCCGGAUCUGGAAGCCCAGUAAUGGGUGGAGGUGACCGGUACUAAUAGGCCGAGGGCUUGUCCUC